rnacentral:rRNA from 1 species
CCUACGGGGGGCGGCAACCGGGAAUAUUGCGCAAUGGAGGAAACUCUGACGCAGCGACGCCGCGUGCGGGAUGAAGGCCUUCGGGUUGUAAACCGCUGUGGAGAGGGAUGAAUUUUGACAGUACCUCUCUAGAAAGCACCUGCUAACUACGUGCCAGCAGCCCCGGUC